rnacentral:lncRNA from 1 species
UUUGCUCCCUGCAGUUGGAGGUCUGAGAGGGGGCGUUCGCUUGCCUGCUACCACGUCCAGUAUGACAGGGGACUCCGCGGCCCGAGAAAGCAGUUGAUUUAGAAGAAGGAAAGACCCUGCCCUGCAGAAUCAUUAUGGAAGCUACUGAGUGACAAGGCAUCCCUGCAUUGGUCCUUUAUAUGAGAAGGUUCUGAAAAAAGAGGACAGCACCUCCUAUGAAGAGCAUGGAGACCCUAACGAGAUGCAGCCACCUCUGGUGAUACG